CUAUCGCUCGGGUGUAGUGGAAAUCCUUUUGUGCUGGUCCCGAAACUUCGGGAUGGCACAAAAGAUUAGAACAGAUAGCGGGACUUUGU
rnacentral:sRNA from 1 species